rnacentral:rRNA from 1 species
UGGGGAAUAUUGCACAAUGGGCGAAAGCCUGAUGCAGCGACGCCGCGUGAGGGAUGACGGCCUUCGGGUUGUAAACCUCUUUCAGCAGGGAAGAAGCGAAAGUGACGGUACCUGCAGAAGAAGCGCCGGCUAACUACGUGCCAGCAGCCGCGGUAAUACGUAGGGCGCGAGCGUUGUCCGGAAUUAUUGGGCGUAAAGAGCUCGUAGGCGGCUUGUCACGUCGGUUGUGAAAGCCCGGGGCUUAACCCCGGGUCUGCAGUCGAUACGGGCAGGCUAGAGUUCGGUAGGGGAGAUCGGAAUUCCUGGUGUAGCGGUGAAAUGCGCAGAUAUCAGGAGGAACACCGGUGGCGAAGGCGGAUCUCUGGGCCGAUACUGACGCUGAGGAGCGAAAGCGUGGGGAGCGAACAGGAUUAGAUACCCUGGUAGUCCACGCCGUAAACGGUGGGCACUAGGUGUGGGCAACAUUCCACGUUGUCCGUGCCGCAGCUAACGCAUUAAGUGCCCCUGCUGGGGAGUACGGCCGC